UUUGUACUCCCUCUUUCCCAAAAUUCUUGUCUUAAACUUGUCUAAAUACGGAUGUAUCUAGUUACAUUUUAGUGUUAGAUACAUCCGAAUCUAAACAAAUGUAAGACAAGAUUUUUGGGACGGAGGGAAUACUAC
rfam:Triticum urartu cultivar G1812 contig108355, whole genome shotgun sequence.